CACAGGGCCCUGGGCUAGAACCUGGAGUAGAGGGCGGGCCCGGGUUCCCCCCAAACCUCCUAACUCCUUUUCAGACACAGGAAGAGUUGACCCAGACUGUGGGUUCCACCAGAGGGGAAGAUCACUGAGGUCACCUUUAAAAGCAGCAAGUGAGCAUGGCCAUACAUCCUUAGCCCAAGUCUGUGAAAUGGAGCCAAUCCAUGUUCAGGAUGGGAGGCUAGAUAUACAGCAGAAGAUGCAUCUGUAGAAGCACUCAGCUAUACACACUGGCUCUUUAGCUCAAGCUAUAGAAACUCAUGUAUCUGGUUCUGGAGGUCCCUCCGUUGGCCAAGAUGGUGGCUGUCACAAUAGCCCA